rnacentral:rRNA from 1 species
GAGUGAACGCUGGCGGUAGGCCUAACACAUGCAAGUCGAACGGCAGCACAGUAAGAGCUUGCUCUUACGGGUGGCGAGUGGCGGACGGGUGAGGAAUACAUCGGAAUCUACUUUUUCGUGGGGGAUAACGUAGGGAAACUUACGCUAAUACCGCAUACGACCUACGGGUGAAAGCAGGGGAUCUUCGGACCUUGCGCGUUUGAAUGAGCCGAUGUCGGAUUAGCUAGUUGGCGGGGUAAAGGCCCACCAAGGCGACGAUCCGUAGCUGGUCUGAGAGGAUGAUCAGCCACACUGGAACUGAGACACGGUCCAGACUCCUACGGGAGGCAGCAGUGGGGAAUAUUGGACAAUGGGCGCAAGCCUGAUCCAGCCAUACCGCGUGGGUGAAGAAGGCCUUCGGGUUGUAAAGCCCUUUUGUUGGGAAAGAAAAGCAGCAGGUUAAUACCCCGCUGUUCUGACGGUACCCAAAGAAUAAGCACCGGCUAACUUCGUG